UACGGAGGAUGCGAGCGUUAUCCGGAUUUAUUGGGUUUAAAGGGUGCGUAGGCGGACUGUCAAGUCAGCGGUAAAAUUGAGAGGCUCAACCUCUUCCCGCCGUUGAAACUGGUGGUCUUGAGUGGAUGAGAAGUACGCGGAAUGCGUGGUGUAGCGGUGAAAUGCAUAGAUAUCACGCAGAACUCCGAUUGCGAAGGCAGCGUACCGGCAUCCUACUGACGCUGAGGCACGAAAGCGUGGGGAUCAAACAGG
rnacentral:rRNA from 1 species